UUUUAUUUGAGAGUUUGAUCCUGGCUCAGGAUGAACGCUGGCGGCGUGCCUAACACAUGCAAGUUGAGCGAUUUACUUCGGUAAAGAGCGGCGGACGGGGGAGUAACGCGUGGGUAACCUACCCUGUACACACGGAUAACAUACCGAAAGGUAUGCUAAUACGGGAUAAUAUAUUUGAGAGGCAUCUCUUGAAUAUCAAAGGUGAGCCAGUACAGGAUGGACCCGCGUCUGAUUAGCUAGUUGGUAAGGUAACGGCUUACCAAGGCGACGAUCAGUAGCCGACCUGAGAG
rnacentral:rRNA from 1 species